UGAGGAAUUUUGGACAAUGGGGGAAACCCUGAUCCAGCGACGCCGCGUGGAGGACGAAGGUCUUCGGAUUGUAAACUCCUUUUGUUCGGGACUAAGAAAUCUGUAGAAAUACGGAGAGUGAAUGUACCGGAUGAAUAAGCCACGGCUAACUUCGUGCCAGCAGCCGCGGUAAUACGAAGGUGGCAAGCGUUACUCGGAAUUACUAGGCGUAAAGGGCAGGUAGGUGGUUCGGUCAGUCUGUUGUGUAAGCUCCCGGCUUAACUGGGAGAGGUCAACGGAUACUGCCGAGCUUGAGUGUGGGAGAGGGUACUGGAAUUCCCGGUGUAGCGGUGAAAUGCGCAGAGAUCGGGAGGAACACCAAUGGCGAAAGCAGGUACCUGGACCAUUACUGACACUAAGCUGCGAAAGCUAGGGGAGCAAACAGG
rnacentral:rRNA from 1 species